rfam:Citrus clementina cultivar Clemenules unplaced genomic scaffold scaffold_3, whole genome shotgun sequence.
AUGCCAUGAUGAGGACACCUUCUGAGCAGUUCUUUAAAUCUCUCACAAGCUUCAUACAAACUCUCAUAUUCAAGUUGACGAAAAGAAGUUAUCUCAUUCCGUAAUUUU